GACGAACGCUGGCGGCGUGCUUAACACAUGCAAGUCGAACGGAAAGGCCCUGCUUUUGUGGGGUGCUCGAGUGGCGAACGGGUGAGUAACAAGUGAGUAACCUGCCCUUGACUUUGGGAUAACUUCAGGAAACUGGGGCUAAUACCGGAUAGGAGCUCCUGCUGCAUGGUGGGGGUUGGAAAGUUUCGGCGGUUGGGGAUGGACUCGCGGCUUAUCAGCUAGUUGGUGGGGUAGUGGCUUACCAAGGCUUUGACGGGUAGCCGGCCUGAGAGGGUGACCGGCCACAUUGGGACUGAGAUACGGCCCAGACUCCUACGGGAGGCAGCAGUGGGGAAUAUUGCACAAUGGGCGGAAGCCUGAUGCAGCCACGCCGCGUGCGGGAUGACGGCCUUCGGGUUGUAAACCGCUUUCGCCUGUGACGAAGCGUGAGUGACGGUAAUGGGUAAAGAAGCACCGGCUAACUACGUG
rnacentral:rRNA from 1 species